CUUGAGAAGGGUUUUGACAGAUUGAUAGCUCUUUCUCGAUUCUGUGGGUGGUGGUGCAUGGCCGUUCUUAGUUGGUGGAACGAUUUGUCUGUUUAAUUCCGAUAACAAAUGAGACUUCGACAUGCUAACUAGUUACUCGACCCCGUGCGUUCUGAGUCCAACUUCUUAGAGUCAGGGCUCUAGAGUGCGACCAAUUUGGUCGCAUUUUUCAGUGGUGCGACUAAAAAAAAAUAUUUGGUCGCACCGGUGCGACCAAAUAUUUUCGGGUAACAAAAAAAAUAAAUAAAAAAAAUCUCGGCAACUCUCAGUGUGGUCAACAACAGACACAUAUUAUGCCCCUA
rnacentral:ncRNA from 1 species